UUGGGGGGCGUGCCUAUACAUGCAAGUCGAGCGGACCGACGGGAGCUUGCUCCCUUAGGUCAGCGGCGGACGGGUGAGUAACACGUGGGUAACCUGCCUGUAAGACUGGGAUAACUCCGGGAAACCGGGGCUAAUACCGGAUGCUUGAUUGAACCGCAUGGUUCAAUCAUAAAAGGUGGCUUUUAGCUACCACUUACAGAUGGACCCGCGGCGCAUUAGCUAGUUGGUGAGGUAACGGCUCACCAAGGCGACGAUGCGUAGCCGACCUGAGAGGGUGAUCGGCCACACUGGGACUGAGACACGGCCCAGACUCCUACGGGAGGCAGCAGUAGGGAAUCUUCCGCAAUGGACGAAAGUCUGACGGAGCAACGCCGCGUGAGUGAUGAAGGUUUUCGGAUCGUAAAACUCUGUUGUUAGGGAAGAACAAGUACCGUUCGAAUAGGGCGGCACCUUGACGGUACCUAACCAGAAAGCCACGGCUAACUACGUGCCAGCAGCCGCGGUAAUACGUAGGUGGCAAGCGUUGUCCGGAAUUAUUGGGCGUAAAGCGCGCGCAGGCGGUUUCUUAAGUCUGAUGUGAAAGCCCCCGGCUCAACCGGGGAGGGUCAUUGGAAACUGGGGAACUUGAGUGCAGAAGAGGAGAGUGGAAUUCCACGUGUAGCGGUGAAAUGCGUAGAGAUGUGGAGGAACACCAGUGGCGAAGGCGACUCUCUGGUCUGUAACUGACGCUGAGGCGCGAAAGCGUGGGGAGCGAACAGGAUUAGAUACCCUGGUAGUCCACGCCGUAAACGAUGAGUGCUAAGUGUUAGAGGGUUUCCGCCCUUUAGUGCUGCAGCAAACGCAUUAAGCACUCCGCCUGGGGAGUACGGUCGCAAGACUGAAACUCAAAGGAAUUGACGGGGGCCCGCACAAGCGGUGGAGCAUGUGGUUUAAUUCGAAGCAACGCGAAGAACCUA
rnacentral:rRNA from 1 species